rnacentral:lncRNA from 1 species
UUGAUUUUACUGGGCUGUAUAGCUCAACCCUUUACCAUAUUUCAGAAAUAAUUAAGCAGGAACUAAUUCAUGAGCUCCCGGAGUCUGACCAUGAGCCGAAAUGCAUGCAGAAUUUACAUGUGGAACUGGUGGAGGAUUCACUGGAUAGAUUUAUUUUUCUGUUUUGCCGAAGUGUCAGCUUAAUCAGAUGAGUUUACUUGCUGUAUUGGAUGAAAACUGUUUGUAGUUGAGUUGAGAGGCAUAGUAGUUAUGAGCACUUUUUGUAGGAAUUGUUGAUGAGUAAAAUAGUAGGUCUAUAUUGUGUUAAUAUACCUGUAAUGUAAUUAGUACCUGUUACAGUGGGAAAACUCUUGUUAAUAUUGGGAUGUAUCCGUUGACACUAGUAGAUGAAUGAAUACAUUGACAUAAUGUGGUGUAAAAUGCGGGUUGGUACAUUAGAUUUUUCUAACAGUUAUGCUGUUUUAGAGAAAUUUUUUUUAGGAUAAUUAGAGAGGGGAUUUAAGAGGAAGAAAAGAGAAGUUUUUUUCCCCUGAAUCAAAUUUUCAUUUAUCUACUUCUUGAUAUUUAUUUGCAAAACAUUAGCAUAUUGCUUUGACCAUUGACAAGCUGAUGAGUAGGGGAAGAGUGAUAGUGAAUGCUUGUUAAUUAUGUAAAAGAGCGGCUGAGACCUUUUUGUACGUAUCUUUUUGUGCAUAUCUUUUGUAAAAGAGUGAUAGUGAAUGGCAUUUAUAUAUGCCAUUGACAAGCUGAUGAGUUGUAAAUAUCUUUUGUACAUAGAUUGUAUCCCCUUGGUGCUAUUGCAUUAAUAUAUUGCUUAUACUUUUUUAUCUCAAAAAAAAUUAGCAUAUUGGUUUGAUAUUUAAGGUGGAUUAAUCAUUAAUUGGUGGCAUUCUAGGUGAUUGGUCUCUAACUGCCUGAUAGUGGAGUUCCUUUUUAAUUAGCCAUCCAUUUUAUUGUUUUAGCAUUAAAUCGUGUGCUUUAUGUAGACUAAAAUAAAGUUAUACACUACCAAACUUUGUCAGUUUAUCAAUAUACGAACUUUGAAAUUACUUUCUAUUUAUUGUAGUUGGUUUCAGUUUUAAGCUUCUUUUGCAAAUCAUCUUAUACUUAUUUCGUCUGAUUGAAGCAGAUAAUGGCUUCAAAACAGCCAAAUACCGGGCUCUUUGUGGGAUUAAACAAAGGCCACAUUGUAACCAAGAAGGAAUUGGCUCCUCGACCCUCUCUUAGAAAAGGAGUAAGUUUUUUCUAUGCCCGCAGAAUUUCCAUAACCUACUUAUGUUUUUGAGUUUGGUUUCUUGUAGCUGUAUUUUGCUGUGCUAUAUAUUUUGCAGUUGAUUUUUUUAGCAGGCUCAGUUGAAAUUUCUUUGUUGCAGUUAUGAAUAUUGAAGUUCUUAGCUUGCUUCUGAUUAACUGCUGAUAUGUAUGUGAUCUCUCUCCUGUUUUCCAUCUGUUGCCCUCUCAUCAUAAUUCACAG